rnacentral:rRNA from 1 species
CAGCCGCCGCGGUAAUACCGGCGGCCCGAGUGGCGGUCACUAUUAUUGGGCUUAAAGCGUCCGUAGCCGGGUUGGGAAGUCCUCCGGGAAAUCUGGCCGCUUAACGGUCAGAAUGCCGGAGGAUACUCCCAGCCUAGGGAGCGGGAGGGGCCGAGGGGAUUCCCGGAGUAGGGGUGAAAUCCUAUAAUCCCGGGAGGACCACCUGUGGCGAAGGCGCUCGGCUGGAACGCGUCCGACGGUGAGGGACGAGGGCCAGGGGAGCAAACCGGAUUAGAUACCCGGGUAGUCCUGGCGGUAAACGAUGCGGACUUUGUGUCGGACAAGCUAUGAGCUUGUCCGGUGCCGGAGGGAAACCGUUAAGUCCGCCGCCUGGGGAGUACGGCCGCAAGGCUGAAACUUAAAGGAAUUGGCGGG